rnacentral:rRNA from 1 species
AUGAAGUUGGAAUUGCUAGUAAUCGCGGAUCAGCAUGCCGCGGUGAAUACGUUCCCGGGCCUUGUACACACCGCCCGUCACACCAGGGGAGUUUGUAACACCCGAAGUCAGUGUCCCAACCGCAAGGAGGGAGCUGCCGAAGGUGGGAUAAGCGACUGGGGUGAAGUCGUAACAAGGUAUC